GUGGGGAAUAUUGGACAAUGGGCGAAAGCCUGAUCCAGCCAUGCCGCGUGUGUGAAGAAGGUCUUCGGAUUGUAAAGCACUUUAAGUUGGGAGGAAGGGCAGUAAGUUAAUACCUUGCUGUUUUGACGUUACCGACAGAAUAAGCACCGGCUAACUUCGUGCCAGCAGCCGCGGUAAUACGAAGGGUGCAAGCGUUAAUCGGAAUUACUGGGCGUAAAGCGCGCGUAGGUGGUUUUGUAAGUUGGAGGUGAAAUCCCCGGGCUCAACCUGGGAACUGCAUCCAAAACUGAAUGACUAGAGUACGGUAGAGGGUAGUGGAAUUUCCUGUGUAGCGGUGAAAUGCGUAGAUAUAGGAAGGAACACCAGUGGCGAAGGCGACUACCUGGACUGAUACUGACACUGAGGUGCGAAAGCGUGGGGAGCAAACAGGAUUAGAAACCCCGGUAGUCC
rnacentral:rRNA from 1 species